rnacentral:rRNA from 1 species
UACGUAGGGGGCAAGCGUUGUCCGGAAUCAUUGGGCGUAAAGAGCGUGUAGGCGGUCCGAUAAGUCCGCUCUGAAAGCCCGGGGCUCAACCCCGGGAGGCGGGCGGAUACUGUCGGGCUAGAGUCCGGAAGAGGAGAAUGGAAUUCCUGGUGUAGCGGUGAAAUGCGCAGAUAUCAGGAAGAACACCCGUGGCGAAGGCGGUUCUCUGGGCCGAUACUGACGCUGAGGAGCGAAAGCGUGGGGAGCGAACAGG